UGUCCAUUAUGGUGUUUCUUAAUUGCUUUUUGCUUUUUAUUAUAUCUAUCGGAUUUUAAUCCAAUGAUUAAAAAUCUGUGUGAUACGAUCAUAAAAAUCUUUCGAAAGAUGUAUAGGUACUCCCAGAGAACGACCUAGUGUAACCUAGCCGACAGAAUCUUCUCGUCUGAUCCGUUCUUUCUCCCCAUCCAAAAAUUCCUCCGAUCCAAGAAGGUCUCUAUCCUGCAGGAUCAAGAUUUUAGUCCACGCACCAUGCCGCUGGAAAGGCAACCACGCCGCGUGCUGCCGCAACUGGGUGCAUCGAUGAUCCCUCUGAUCAACGGGUCAGUACUACCCGUGGGCAAUUUGCCAGUCCCAUCUAAUUACGGUGUUCUGUUCAUUUUGCUGAUAGACGAUAUUCUGAUCCAUUUUGCUGAAAACAAAGCUGCUCUCAUCCUGGUUUGAAGUCAUUGAUUUUUUUUUCACUUUUUACUAAUUGAUUUUUGUAGCAGUCCCAACAGCCCAACAUAUUUAUUAUGAUCUUUCUGUUCCUUUUGUUGUCAGAUGUGCUGUCAAUCGAGCAGUAAUACGGAUGGGAGGCAGACCGCAUACAGAUGCAUAAAGGGAUGGAAGACUAGCAUUACUUUUUUUCCCAAAAAAAUCUUGUAUAUGAUCAUUUUACUUGGAAUAUAUGUAACUUCUGUAAACAAUUAUUUGUUUCCUUCAAUGUAUAUACGAGUGAAAAAGUGAUCA